GUACCUCCCACAACAUGGAUAUGCUUCUUUUACCUUUAUCCUAGCAUAUUUGAAACGUUGUCAGUUAAACAUAUCUCUGCGGGGCGAAGACUUUAUUAUUGACCCUAAGAAAAAUGAUCGCAGAGAAAUUCACUUUUACGUGCGACCAGUUGUCAUCUCACAGGCAGAUAGCGUGCUGUCCGACUCACUGUGUCACACCACAUGGAGGCAAAGACCUGCUCUGUUACAACCUGAAAGACCUUAACCAGGAGCCCCUGGCAUUAACGGGCCACCAUGGUGAGAUCUCUGCGAUGGUGUUCGGGAGACGUGACACGCAGGUCCUACUCUGCUCUGCCUCUGCUGAUUACAUCAUUGUGUGGAACAUUGAGCUCUGUCAGAAGAGAGUAGACGAUGGCUUAAUUGCAGCUGGAACAGUAAUCGGUACCUUACUGGGUGAUGUGGUCUACCUUGCCUUCUGUUCCUCUGGGGAGCGGGUAGCAGCAUGCACUGGAAACAGAGUCAAUAUACUGAGC